rnacentral:lncRNA from 14 species
GGUCUCCAUGUACUGCUGUAGGCUGAUUUCCCCUUUGUAAGCAGUGUCCUUGCUAUUCAUUGUCUAGAGGUGCAAUGUGGGGCUUGAAGGAACUACCUGGGUAACUGGACUUGAUGACUUCAACAGAUCUGUACUGCAUGUCAAGUCCAAAAUGAUGUACAAGAGCAUCUGUGCUGUCAGACAUGUAAAACCCUCAAAGCUUCUGUCAUUACAGCAGGAGCACAGAGUUGUUUUGUUUCUGAACUCGUGUGGCAUGGCCAAGUAUCCCAGCUGUUGGAUGAACUGUUCUCAUGAGAGGACCCUGUGGAAAUUAACUUCCCAUUGGAAAAAAAACAACCCUUUUUACCAGUAUUUUAUACAUGAAGGGGCAAGGGUGGGACAUGAUGUGAUUCAUGUGAUGGGAAUAAAGAUGAUUUUUUUUUCAACCAAAUUAAGGUUUUUUACCUUGGCUAACAUGGAACGUGCUCAGGUUCCUCAACAAGCUGGACACAUUCCGGUAUCCUCAGUACUGAAACAGGUAGGCACAAGCUGGCUUGGCCAAAUGGGGAAUCCAUGCCUGAGCUCAGAUGUGAAGAGGAAGUUUUACAGGAAGUGGGUAUGGGAUCAGCUCCCCUUGGAGGAAUGGAUAAUGCACAAAGCUCAGCUGGCAUUGAAACUAGUGAGGGAUAAGAAGGGCUUGUGUGAACACAUUGGCAGCAAAAGGAAUUAAAGCCUCCAGCCAAAGGGGACACUAGAGGAGGCAGCUGAGUGACCCAAGUCUUUCCUCCUGCAAUCUCUCCCACUGUUUGCCUGCCCAGGAAGGUGUGGCAGACACUCCACCUGGGGGGACUGAAGUCUCCACCAAAGGGAGAGGUGGCUGUUUCUGCUACCAUAAGGAGGGGGAGUGUGGAGCCAGAUGGAAACAUGCAGGGAGCAUAAAACAGGAAUGUCCUGCAUAUGGAGGGAGAAAGUGUGCAAUGAGGAGAAUGGAGAUGGGAAAUGCAGGGUGGAUUUUCUUCCCAGUUCACUGAGAAUGGAUGGAGAGAAGAGGGAACUCUGCAGAGGAGAAGGCACCAGCAGGGAGAGGGUUCAUGUAGAGUAGCCCAGUUUGCAUCUUUUAGUAUGGAAGGUGUGGAAGAUCACCUUUCUCUUGCAAUUUAUGUUUUGGGUUGCAGUCAUUCAGCUACAAACCACUUAUUUAAUGACAAAACAUCCAGCAAAGUAUGGAAAAAGCCACAUCUCCUGUAGCAUGAGACAAAACCAGUAAUAACACUACCUCUGAGUGGAGUAACAAUAUCAAAUGUUUCAACAGUAGAAGAAAAAUACCUCUUUGUGAGCUGUAACAUAAUGCAAAGGUUAUGGUGUCAUGUCUUUACAGUAAUACUGUGUAAGUAUAAGAAUUUUAUACUGGAAUCAUUGAAUGGUUUGUGUUGGAGGGAAUGUCAAAGCUCAUCCAGCUCCAACCCCUGCCAUGGGCAGGGACACCUUCCACUAGAACAGCUUGCUCCAAGCCCUGUCCAACCUGACCUUCAACACUUGCAUACAAAUACAUUCUACUAUAUUAUAAACAAUAUUUUAAUGUACUAUACAUAAUAUAUAAUGUAUAUAUUAU